rnacentral:rRNA from 1 species
UUGACGCUGAAGGUUGGUACUUGUACCGACUGGAUGAGCAGCGAACGGGUGAGUAACGCGUGGGGAAUCUGCCUUUGAGCGGGGGACAACAUUUGGAAACGAAUGCUAAUACCGCAUAAAAACUUUAAACACAAGUUUUAAGUUUGAAAGAUGCAAUUGCAUCACUCAAAGAUGAUCCCGCGUUGUAUUAGCUAGUUGGUGAGGUAAAGGCUCACCAAGGCGAUGAUACAUAGCCGACCUGAGAGGGUGAUCGGCCACAUUGGGACUGAGACACGGCCCAAACUCCUACGGGAGGCAGCAGUAGGGAAUCUUCGGCAAUGGACGAAAGUCUGACCGAGCAACGCCGCGUGAGUGAAGAAGGUUUUCGGAUCGUAAAACUCUGUUGGUAGAGAAAANCGUUGGUGAGAGUGGAAAGCUCAUCAAGUGACGGUAACUACCCAGAANGGACGGCUAACUACGUGCCAGCAGCCGCGGUAAUACGUAGGUCCCGAGCGUUGUCCGGAUUAUUUGGGCGUAAAGCGAGCCCAGGUCGGUUAUUAAGUCUGGUGUAAAGGCAGUGGCNCAACCAU